rnacentral:piRNA from 1 species
UGAGAUUAGUGAUCCUUGGCCUUGC